UUUUUAGGAAGUAGAAUUUGAAUGCAGGUGACCUCAAAUGUAAAAGCCUACAAAUGUAUCAUUCAAGUUAACUGAAUCUUUUUGAAUACAGAGAGUGAUGCAGUAUUGACUGAUGCUGAUUUGAGUUGUCUGAUUCUGUAUUUUUGUUCUUGUUUUGUUACACAGAUUGAAAUAGAACCCUGGUUUUGCUGUUGCUGACUUCUGGUUCACUUCUGGGACCUUUUGAAGUGGAGUCAACUUUGGAUACCAUGGAAACCAUCAGUGCAUCUCUCAGAGUUCAAUGAAGAGGACCAUUAAGAAGGAGCUCAAAAAACCUUCCUCACAUGCCAAGGAGUUGAUUCACUGAUGGAGGAAUUUGUUCAGCAGAGUAACGCCAGCAGCCAAAUGCUGACAGUGGCAGAGAUACAGACCUGCAACAUCCCAAAAAGACCUCACAAUCAGAAGGGGGUAGAUGUUAUGGAAGGACAGAUGGAUCUUCCCAGGCAAGAUGACAGCAAACUAUUCCUCUGUGAGCUGUGUGGGAA